GGGGUUGUGGCUCAGCGGUAGAGCACUCAUCUCGUACAUGGGAAAGCCUGGGUUCGAUCCUCAGCACCA
rnacentral:tRNA from 1 species